rnacentral:rRNA from 1 species
ACAUCCAGAGAAUUUAGCAGAGAUGCUUUAGUGCCUUCGGGGAACUCUGAGACAGGUGCUGCAUGGCUGUCGUCAGCUCGUGUUGUGAAAUGUUGGGUUAAGUCCCGCAACGAGCGCAACCCUUAUCCUUUGUUGCCAGCACGUAAUGGUGGGAACUCAAAGGAGACUGCCGGUGAUAAACCGGAGGAAGGUGGGGAUGACGUCAAGUCAUCAUGGCCCUUACGAGUAGGGCUACACACGUGCUACAAUGGCGCAUACAAAGAGAAGCGACCUCGCGAGAGCAAGCGGACCUCAUAAAGUGCGUCGUAGUCCGGAUUGGAGUCUGCAACUCGACUCCAUGAAGUCGGAAUCGCUAGUAAUCGUAAAUCAGAAUGUUACGGUGAAUACGUUCCCGGGCCUUGUACACACCGCCCGUCACACCAUGGGAGUGGGUUGCAAAAGAAGUAGAUAGCUUAACCUUCGGGAGGGCGUUUACCACUUUGUGAUUCAUGACUGGGGUGAAGUCGUAACAAGGUAGGCGUAGUGCU